rnacentral:snoRNA from 1 species
GUAGUACUGUGUGCAUAGUUGUCGUCUAUGUCUGGUAGCAGUGUCUGUCUGUGUUUUGCAUUCAGAUCUUGCUAUCCACACAAAGAUUGUGCAGCCAAAGAGUAACAUGGGAUCAUAGUACUGGUUUAGUGUUGUGUGCUUGAACACAUCUCCCACUGACCAGCCUCCAAAUUCCCGGACACAA